rnacentral:rRNA from 1 species
GUCGAGAAUAAUUCACAAUGGGGGAAACCCUGAUGGUGCAACGCCGCGUGGAGGAUGAAGGUCUUCGGAUUGUAAACUCCUGUCAUCUGGGAGUAAGACCUGACGGUGAAUAGCCGGCAGGGUUGAUAGUACCAGAAGAGGAAGGGACGGCUAACUUCGUGCCAGCAGCCGCGGUAAUACGAAGGUCCCAAGCGUUGUUUGGAAUCACUGGGCGUAAAGGGAGCGUAGGCGGCGUGGUAAGUCAGAUGUGAAAUCCCGGGGCUCAACCCCGGAACUGCAUCCGAUACUGCCAUGCUUGAGGGUUGGAGAGGUAGCUGGAAUUCUCGGUGUAGCAGUGAAAUGCGUGGAUAUCGAGAGGAACACUCGUGGCGAAGGCGAGCUACUGGACAACAUCUGACGCUGAGGCUCGAAGGCUAGGGGAGCAAAAGGGAUUAGAAACCCUAGUAGUCC